rnacentral:tRNA from 1 species
GAGGCUAUAGCUUGGUGGUAGGGUGUAUGUUUAGCAUGCACAAGGUCUUGGGUUCGAGCCCCAGUAUCUCCA